AUUAGAUACCCUGGUAGUCCACGAUUUUACCCGUACAAUGUUAGUCGUCGGGUAGCUAGUCUAUUCGGUGAUGCAGCUAACGCAUUAAACAUUCCGCCUGGGGAGUACGGUCGCAAGAUUAAAACUCAAAGGAAUAGACGGGGACCCGCACAAGUGGUGGAGCAUGUGGUUUAAUUCGAAGAUACGCGAAGAACCUUACCUAGCCUUGACAUAUAUUAGAACUCACCAGAGAUGGAGAGGUGCCUUCGGGAGCUUUUAUACAGGUGCUGCACGGCUGUCGUCAGCUCGUGUCGUGAGAUGUUGGGUUAAGUCCCGCAACGAGCGCAACCCUCGUCACUAGUUACUAACGGUUCGGCCGAGGACUCUAGUGAGACUGCCUUCGCAAGGAGGAGGAAGGUGAGGACGACAUCCAGUCAUCAUGGCCCUUACGGCUAGGGCAACACACGUGCUACAAUGGCCAGGACAAUGAAACGCGAUACCGCGAGGUGGAGCAAAUCUAUAAACCUGGUCUCAGUUCGGAUUGUAUUCUGCAACUCCACUACAUGAAGCUGGAAUCACUAGUAGUCGUAGAUCACCUAUGCUACGGUGAAUACGUUCCCGGGUCUUGUACUCACCGCCCGUCACGCCAUGGGAGUUGAUUUCACCCGAAACGAGAAAACUAAACU
rnacentral:rRNA from 1 species